rnacentral:rRNA from 1 species
ACCUGACUGCUAUCGGAUUGGUACUAAGCCAUGCGAGUCAUUGUAGCAAUACAAGGCGGACGGCUCAGUAACACGUAGUCAACCUAACUCGUGGACGUGGAUAACCUCGGGAAGCUGAGAAUAAACCACGAUAGAUCAUAGUGCCUGGAAUGGCUUAUGGUCCAAACAGUUUACUGCCAUGGGAUGGGACUGCGGCCUAUCAGCUUGUUGGUGAGGUAAUGGCCCACCAAGGCGAUUACAGGUACGGGCUCUGAGAGGAGAAGCCCGGAGAUGGGUACUGAGACACGGACCCAGGCCCUAUGGGGCGCAGCAGGCGAGAAACCUUAGCAAUGUGCGAAAGCACGACUGGGUCAGUCCGAGUGAUUCCUGAUAAAGGAGUCUUUUGCCUGUCCUAAAAGCACAGGUGAAUAAGGGGUGGGCAAGUCUGGUGUCAGCCGCCGCGGUAAUACCAGCACCUCGAGUGGUCAGGACGUUUAUUGGGCCUAAAGCAUCCGUAGCCGGCUCUGCAAGUCUUCGGUUAAAUCCACCUGCUCAACAGAUGGGCCGCUGGAGAUACUACAGAGCUAGGGAGUGGGAGAGGCAGACGGUAUUCAGUGGGUAGGGGUAAAAUCCUCUGAUCCAUUGAGGACCACCAGUGGCGAAGGCGGUCUGCCAGAACACGUUCGACGGUGAGGGAUGAAAGCUGGGGGAGCAAACCGGAUUAGAUACCCGGGUAGUCCCAGCUGUAAACGAUGCAAACUCGGUGAUGCAUUGGCUUAUGGCCAAUGCAGUGCCGCAGGGAAGCCGUUAAGUUUGCCGCCUGGGAAGUACGGACGCAAGUCUGAA